rnacentral:ncRNA from 1 species
CGGCCUGAGGUCGGACGAGGCUACCCGCUGAAUUUAAGCAUAUUACUAAGCGGAGGAAAAGAAACUAACGAGGAUUCCCUCAGUAACGGCGAGUGAAGCGGGACGAGCCCAGCGCCGAAUCCGGCCGCUUAUAGUUGCAGACGGAAUUGUGGCGUAUGGAAUUCGCUUCGAGCGCGGACCGGCUGCCCACGUCCUUCUGAUCGAGGCUUC